CCUACGGGAGGCUGCAGUGGGGAAUAUUGGACAAUGGGCGAAAGCCUGAUCCAGCCAUGCCGCGUGUGUGAAGAAGGCCUUCGGGUUGUAAAGCACUUUCAGUGGGGAAGAAAGCCUUGGGGCUAAUACCCUCGAGGAAGGACAUCACCCACAGAAGAAGCACCGGCUAACUCCGUGCCAGCAGCCGCGGUAAUACGGAGGGUGCGAGCGUUAAUCGGAAUUACUGGGCGUAAAGCGCGCGUAGGCGGUCUGUUAAGCCGGUUGUGAAAGCCCCGGGCUCAACCUGGGAACGGCAUCCGGAACUGUCAGGCUAGAGUGCAGGAGAGGAAGGUAGAAUUCCCGGUGUAGCGGUGAAAUGCGUAGAGAUCGGGAGGAAUACCAGUGGCGAAGGCGGCCUUCUGGACUGACACUGACGCUGAUGUGCGAAAGCGUGGGUAGCAAACAGGAUUAGAUACCCGGGUAGUC
rnacentral:rRNA from 1 species